GACGAACGCUGGCGGCGUGCCUAAUACAUGCAAGUCGAACGCAGUGGGGACGGCUGAGUAACACGUUGGUAACCUCCCAUCAGAGGGGAUAACACUUGGAAACAGGUGCUAAACCGAUACUGAUGGAUGGACCUUCGGUGUAUUAGCCAGUUGGUGGGGUAACGGCUCACCAAGGCCACGAUGCAUAGCCGACCUGAGAGGGUGAUCGGCCACACUGGGAGUGAGAAACGGCCCAGAUUCCUACGGGAGGCAGCAGUAGGGAAUCUUCGGCAAUGGACGAAAGUCUGACCGAGCAAGGCCGCGUAGGUGAAGAAGGCUUUCGGAUCGUAAAACUCUGUUGUUAGAGAAGCGGUAUCUAACCAGAAAGCCACGGCUAACUACGUGCCAGCAGCCGCGGUAAUAC
rnacentral:rRNA from 1 species